GGGAGAUCACCAAGAGGGAGAAACAGCAGGUCAUAAAGCGUGUGCAUGAAGACUGCUCCAGGGUGAGAAGCGACAUGUGCCAGGCACUGAGCAUACAGCACUACCUGGCCUCACUGCUGGCAGAGACGGACCCCUUCCUGCUCAUCUGGGCCUUUCAAUCAGAUGACACAAAGUUACUAGCCGACCUGAACAACCCGCUUUUCAUCCCUGAUGCCGUCAGUCUGGACAGGAAACACAUCUUGGAGGACAUCGAGAGCAAGUAUCGAGAGUUUAUCACCGGCACCCUCCGCUGCCUCAGUGAACUCAAGAGGGAGCUCUGUGAGUGACAGAUGGGUGACACAAGCCUGCCCCCAUUUAUUUAACUUUCUUAAAGGAAUGGUUUGAUAAUAUUUUUGGA
rnacentral:lncRNA from 1 species